rnacentral:rRNA from 1 species
AGAGUUUGAUCAUGGCUCAGAACGAACGCUGGCGGCAGGCCUAACACAUGCAAGUCGAACGCCCGUAGCAAUACGGGAGUGGCAGACGGGUGAGUAACGCGUGGGAACGUACCCUUCGGUUCGGAAUAACCCAGGGAAACUUGGGCUAAUACCGGAUACGUCCGUAAGGAGAAAGAUUUAUCGCCGAAGGAUCGGCCCGCGUCGGAUUAGCUAGUUGGUGAGGUAACGGCCCACCAAGGCGACGAUCCGUAGCUGGUCUGAGAGGAUGAUCAGCCACACUGGGACUGAGACACGGCCCAGACUCCUACGGGAGGCAGCAGUGGGGAAUAUUGGACAAUGGGCGAAAGCCUGAUCCAGCCAUGCCGCGUGAGUGAAGAAGGCCUUAGGGUUGUAAAGCUCUUUCAGCGGGGAAGAUAAUGACGGUACCCGCAGAAGAAGCCCCGGCUAACUUCGUGCCAGCAGCCGCGGUAAUACGAAGGGGGCUAGCGUUGUUCGGAUUUACUGGGCGUAAAGCGCGCGUAGGCGGGUCACUAAGUCAGGGGUGAAAUCCCGAGGCUUAACCUCGGAACUGCCUUUGAUACUGGUGACCUGGAGAUCGGGAGAGGUUGGUGGAAUUCCGAGUGUAGAGGUGAAAUUCGUAGAUAUUCGGAGGAACACCAGAAGCGAAGGCGGCCAACUGGCCCGAUACUGACGCUGAGGC